rnacentral:rRNA from 1 species
AUACGUAGGGGGCAAGCGUUGUCCGGAUUUAUUGGGCGUAAAGGGUGCGCAGGCGGCCUUUUAAGUCAGGUGUGAAAGGUCACGGCUCAACCGUGGUAAGCACUUGAAACUGGAAGGCUUGAGUUAAGGAGAGGAAAGUGGAAUUCCUAGUGUAGCGGUGAAAUGCGUAGAUAUUAGGAGGAAUACCAGUGGCGAAGGCGACUUUCUGGACUUAUACUGACGCUGAGGCACGAAAGCGUGGGGAGCGAACAGGAUUAGAUACCCUGGUAGUCCACGCCGUAAACGAUGAGCGCUAGGUGUUGGGGGUCAAACCUCGGUGCCGCAGCUAACGCAUUAAGCGCUCCGCCUGGGGAGUACGUGCGCAAGCAUGAA